GCGGUGUGAGGUAGUUGGUUGUAUGGUUUCGCAUCAUAAACAGCCUGGAGAUAACUGUACAACCUUCUAGCUUUCCCCGC
rnacentral:pre_miRNA from 1 species